rnacentral:rRNA from 1 species
AUUGAACGCUGGCGGCAUGCUUUACACAUGCAAGUCGAACGGCAGCACGGGCUUCGGCCUGGUGGCGAGUGGCGAACGGGUGAGUAAUGCAUCGGAACGUGCCCAUGUCGUGGGGGAUAACGUAUCGAAAGGUACGCUAAUACCGCAUACGCCCUGAGGGGGAAAGCGGGGGAUUCUUCGGAACCUCGCGCGAUUGGAGCGGCCGAUGUCGGAUUAGCUAGUUGGUGAGGUAAAGGCUCACCAAGGCGACGAUCUGUAGCGGGUCUGAGAGGAUGAUCCGCCACACUGGAACUGAGACACGGUCCAGACUCCUACGGGAGGCAGCAGUGGGGAAUUUUGGACAAUGGGGGCAACCCUGAUCCAGCCAUGCCGCGUGAGUGAAGAAGGCCUUCGGGUUGUAAAGCUCUUUCGGCCGGGAAGAAAUCGCACGGGCUAAUACCCUGUGUGGAUGACGGUACCGGAAUAAGAAGCACCGGCUAACUACGUGCCAGCCGCCGCCGUAAGAC